AGUGCAUGAAGUGUUCAACAUUCCACACUUCAUUUUUUCGGUUAUUUAAGUGCAUCAUCCGCGUAUUUAAAGUGCACUUUUUAUUUUGGGAAUUUUCAGUGUGAACACACUACUCGCACUAUUUAUACUACAAAACGUCAUAUAAUAGUGCAUAAGUACGCGAUUUGGGACGCGCCUAAAGCAAAAUAAAAACACAAACUACAACUUUCUUCAGCCACAGCCUUAGAUGAACUGAAGAUAAAAGACAUUCAAUCUCUCAAGAUCUGAUUAAACAACUCCACAAACAGCAUUACCAGCUUCAGUUAUUACUAACCAGACGUCUACAGAAGUUGUGAGAAUUAGCAGAGGUUUAGAUGUUGAUGUCUUAUUGAAAAUGUUUCGUUUGAGGUCACCAUCAUGGAGAUCGUCGUUUGCUUUAGUUGGGCUCUUGACCCUUUACUUUCAUUGAGUUGCGUCUUUUGCAGCAAUUGCAGGUGUUUUCAGAAAACAUUUCUGCAUUGAUAAAACAGGUCAACGUGUUUGUUUUACAGUAAAAUUAAAUAUUGAUCGUUUUUCAUUUGCCAGUUUCAUGUGCCAAAAAUGGAUAGUUGAUGCUCCAGAAAUAAUAAGAUAGCUCUUUUUUUAUUUAUUUAUUUUUAUUUUAUUUAAUUUUCCAUUUGUUUUAAAAAACAAAACAAAAGAGCCAUCUUACUUUUUCUGGAACAUCAACUGUCAAUUUUGGCUCGACAGCUCCUUUUUUGUUUGCGAUUUACAAAUCAGUUUAUGGCUUCAAUAUUUCAUUUCACGUGUGGGCAGCCCUGAAACACCUCUUCAUUUGAUUGGUCAAACAACCCCGCCAUCUUGCAUUAAUUCAGCUGAUUUCAUCACCUCCCGUGAAAUAUUCACAACUGAGAAGGCCUCAGCUGCUGUUAUUAACAUCAUCAGCCAUAUUACAACAGUCACACCAGAGACGAGCUCAGCUGAUGUUCACAUCAUUAACACUAGCUCUACAACCGACACACCAGUGAACGUCUCAAUUGAUUAUUUACUGACAGUCACUUCCACAACAUCUAGCAGUCCCACUACUACAGCUCUAUUACACAUGGUCACUUCCACAGCAUCUACCAGUCCCACUACUACAGUUUCUUCACAGCCUGUAACUUCCAC